UAUUGAGGCACAAACUAGAACAAUCCAUGUAUUUUUGAUCAUCAGCUUAAAUGGCACGAAAAUGUUAUUGGAUGACUAGUUUAACUCGCGUCUAGCGACAGCAGAAAAUUCCUGGCUUCCGCAUGCGCAAUUAUGUUUAUUUAUGUUUGGGGGUUAUGUUGCGGCCUUCAAAUGUUUGGCGCUCAGCGGCAACCCAGCUUACAGCAUUUGUGGGAUCGCGAUAGUUCGAGGACGAACGGCAAUAGUCGAUUACGCCAUGGAAAUCCCGAAAAUGCUAGAAUAUUCGCCGGUCGACGAAAGCCGGUGCGCUGAUAUAAAUACAGGAGAGACCGAACUUAAUUUAAUCAGAUUUAGACAGCUAUCAGAUAUAGUUUGAAUUAGUGAUUAUUGUAGUUAUUUUUUGUGAGUUGAAUAAAUUGUUGUGUUGUUAAUUUUUAUUACUAGAAUCCGUCGAACCCCGGAAAAGGUAAGAAUAUAUUUCAGAUUAUGCAAGUGUCGUGUGCAUUCUUUAAGUGUAUCGGUUGUAUUUUCUAAAGUUUUAGCCGAACUGUUACUAUUACAAAAUGACUAACGAAUGUUCAGUAUGUCAAAAGAAAUUUUCUAAACACUCAAAUUUAAGAUGCCACGUAAAAAAAUUCCAUCCUGAUUUAUUAAAUGAAGUCGCACCAAAUAAAGUGUUUAAGUGUUCAGCUGUUUGCAACAAAUGUAACAAAACAUUUACAAUGAAAUCAAAUUUGAAACAGCAUGUACUAAAAUUUCAUGCAGAGGAAGAGAAUAAGCUGACAUCGUCAAAGGUUUACCCAUGUGAAAUAUGUCAGAAAAACUUCUCUGGUUUAAAUCAUUACAUACAGCA
rnacentral:lncRNA from 1 species